rnacentral:rRNA from 1 species
UACGAGGGGGGCAAGCGUUGUUCGGAAUUACUGGGCGUAAAGGGCGCGUAGGCGGUGCGAUCAGUCAGGCGUGAAAGGCCCGGGCUCAACCCGGGGACUGCGCUUGAUACUGUUGCGCUGUGAGUCCGGGAGAGGAUGGCGGAAUUCCCAGUGUAGAGGUGAAAUUCGUAGAUAUUGGGAAGAACACCGGUGGCGAAGGCGGCCAUCUGGACCGGCACUGACGCUGAGGCGCGAAAGCGUGGGGAGCAAACAGG